GGGGAUGUGGUGUACGGUGCACCGCCGCCUUCCUUGUAUAAUACAUGCCAGAGUGAAAGCAGCGAGCCGGGGUUCGACUCCCCGCGUCCCCA